UUUGAUCCUGGUUCAGAGUGAACGCUAGUGGUGCGUCUAAUACAUGCAAGUCUAACACUUCAUCUAUCUUUAUUUUUAUUGUUGUGAUGAAGGGUGGCGAACGGGUGAGUAAUGCUUAAGAUUCUACCUUACGGAUGGGGACAAUUCUUCGGAAGAAAUACCCAAUAUUGAAAGGAUUUAUCGCCGUAAGAUGACCUUAAGUCGGAUUAGAUAGUCAACAUAUGUUGAAUCGAAGAUCCGUAGCCGGUCUGAGAGGAUGAUCGGCCACACUGGGACUGAGACACGGCCCAGACCCUUUAGGGGGGCUGCAGUAAAGAAUAUUGGUCAAUGCACGAAAGUGUGAACCAGCGACACCACGUGAGUGAAUGAAGGUCCAUCUGACUGUAAAGCUCUUUCGUUGGGGAGAAUAAUGAUAGUACCCAAAGAAGAAGUCCCGGCUAACUCCGUGCCAGCAGCCGCGGUAAUACGGGGGGGGCGAGCGUUACUCGGAAUGAUUGGGCGUAAAGAGUUCUAAGGUUGCCUUUUGCAUUGUUGGAACGAUAAGGAUAGGGCCCAACCCUAUUUCGUUUUUUAAAUACUAUUAGGCUAGAGUUUAUCAGGGGGCGAUAGAAUUCACAGAUGAGGGGUAAAAUCCGAAGAUUUUGUGAGGAAAACCGGAGGCGAAGGCGAUCGCCUGGUAUAAACUGACACUACAUGAACGAAGGUGUGGGGAGCGAAAGGGAUUAGAGACCCCUGUAGUCCACACAGUAAACGAUGAGUGCUAAAUCUCUGAUGUAUUUUGGGGGUUACAGCUAACGCGUUAAGCACUCCGCCUGGGGAGUACGGUCGCAAGACUAAAACUCAAAGGAAUUGGCGGGGAUUCAUACAAGCGGUGGAACAUGUGGUUUAAUUCGAUAAUACGCGCAAAACCUUACCAACCCUUGACCGCUUCUACAAGAAAGCUCUUCUUGUAUUAGACACAGGUGUUGCAUGGCUGUCGUCAGCUCGUGUUGUGAGAUGUUUGGUUAAGUCCUUUAACGAGCGCAACCUUUAUCUUUAAAAACAAAUCGAUAUAAGAUCGAAUGUACGUUAAAGAAACAGCGGUAUAAUCUAGUUCUGAGCAUUAGGACAGUUAGAUUUUUCCCUUGGCAGAGAAAAGUUUAAGUUUAUAUGUCUCGUACGCUCUAUAGGCUAUCGAUGCUACAAGACCGAGGAAGGUGAAGAUGACGUCAAGUUUCAUGGCCCUUAUGGGUUGGGCUACACACAUGUUACAAUGGCAAUUACAAUAGGAAGCAAAGGUGCGAGCCGGAGCAAAGCCAAAAAGAUUGUCCCAGUUCGGAUUAUAGGCUGCAACUCGCCUAUAUGAAGUCGGAAUCGCUAGUAAUCGCGGAUCAGAACGCCGCGGUGAAAUUGUGCUUGAAUCUUGUACACACCGCCCGUCACACCCUGGGAAUCGAAGGUACUUAAAGCU
rnacentral:rRNA from 1 species